rnacentral:tRNA from 1 species
GGGGGAUUAGCUCAGCUGGGAGAGCGCUACGCUGGCAGCGUAGAGGUCAGGAGUUCGAUCCUCCUAUCCUCCACCA